rnacentral:rRNA from 1 species
AUUGAACGCUGGCGGCAGGCCUAACACAUGCAAGUCGAGCGCGAAAGGCCUUCGGGCUGAGUAGAGCGGCGGACGGGUGAGUAACGCGUAGGAAUCUACCUGGUAGUGGGGGACAACUUGGGGAAACUCAAGCUAAUACCGCAUACGCCCUAUGGGGGAAAGCGGGGGACCUUCGGGCCUCGCGCUAUCAGAUGAGCCUGCGUAGGAUUAGCUAGUUGGUGAGGUAAAGGCUCACCAAGGCGACGAUCCUGAGCUGGUCUGAGAGGAUGAUCAUGCACACAGGGACUGAGACCCGGCCCAGACUCCUAAGGGAGGGAGCAGUGGGGAAUAUUGCGCAAUGGGGGCAACCCUGACGCAGCCAUGCCGCGUGUGUGAAGAAGGCCUUCGGGUUGUAAAGCACUUUAAGUGGGGAGAAAAGGGUGGCCGUUAAUAGCGGUGACCUGUGAUGUUACCCACAGAAUAAGCACCGGCUAACUCCGUGCCAGCAGCCGCUGUAAAAC